rnacentral:rRNA from 1 species
AGCAGCCGCGGUAAUUCCAGCUCCAAUAGCGUAUAUUAAAGUUGUUGCAGUUAAAAAGCUCGUAGUUGAAUUUCGGGAUCAAGUCGUCGGUCGUGCUCAGGUACGUACUGGCGUCAUUGAUUUCUCCCUUCUGACGAACCAUGAUGUCAUUAAUUUGGUGUUAUGGGAAAUCAGGACUGUUACUUUGAAAAAAUUAGAGUGUUUAAAGCAGGCUCACGCUUGAAUACAUUAGCAUGGAAUAAUGAAAAUAGGACGUUCGAUCCUAUUUUUGUUGGUUUUAGGAUCAACGUAAUGAUUAAUAGGGAUAGUUGGGGGCAUUAGUAUUCAAUUGUCAGAGGUGAAAUUCUUGGAUUUAUUGAAGACUAACUACUGCGAAAAGCAUUUGCCAAGGAUGUUUUCAUUAAUCAAGAACGAAAGUUAGGGAUCGAAGACGAUCAGAUACCGUCGUAGUCUUAACCAUAAACUAUGCCGACUAGGGAUCGGAUGAUGUUAAAUUUUUU